UGGCAGGUUCCAGUUACUGAUUUUCGCAUGAGUUGUGUUUUUAUUGGAUAAAAUGUCACAAGCAAGCCGAGUCCACAGGGCACCGUGAUACAUGUCCCUGUCAGGUCGUUUGUUUGUUUCGUUAGUCCUCCCAUGUCAUCCUCUUUUGUCAGGUCGUAUAGAUUCAACAACUUGAGGCUCGCCCAUGGUCGAUUGGACCGGAAGAGGGCUGGUCCAUGAAACAUCAGUGCCCUUUGGUUCUUCCUUCCACUACGGAUGGUUGUGAAUCAGCAGAAAUUCCACACACUCAUGGUCAAUUGAUAUAUAUGAAGCAUGGGUCUUAAUAUUUUAAUCAACUCGGCACCUGAAGCUAUUCCCUUUAUUUCGACGUCUAUCUUGAGCUCAUUUGGAUAUGAUUUGUCCACCAAUCAAGUUCCAGACAGGUUGGGGAACUAACUGCGGCAGCGGAGCUGCGGGAGUGGUGCACAUGCGAGAAGGGAAGGAGAAAGAAGGAAUGAGGGACAGAGGUGUCGGAGCUGAGAUAUAGGAGGGAAAUACCAAGGGAGCUGGCAUGGAAAGAAAGCUUAGUUGGGUCCCAAGGCUAGAGUGGAUCGUGUUGUAUUUGUUCCCUAUUAUCAAGGCUCACGUUCAUUAUCGUUUUUAAAGUGCAUGCUUCGGAAGCUCGUUGUCAAGGAAGAUGGCAAACUCAUUGAGGAUGAUCAUUGGGGUCAUUGUUAAGCUCGA